GUUCAAAAUUAUUUCCUGAGUCCUGGAGAUUUCCCCAAGGCUAAAACAGCAACAGUCUCUCACAUAAGGGGUCAACUGGUCCAGGGGGGAAAACGUCCAACUGAAUUUUGCCUGGGAUCAGCUACAAGAGUCUAAUAUAUGAAACAACCUGUGGUUGGAACAUGAAAGUGCUUUGGACUGUGGAAAUGCUACAUACAGAUAUACCCCAACUGAGAAGGAAUCCAAGCUCAGAACCAGAGGCCUGGAAACUCAGUUUGAAACUGCUCCAUAAUCUAUCAUGCUGUUGCUAAGAGGAUAUUAAUACUAGCAUUUAGAAUUGCAGUCAUGUGUCUGACAAUCCUGU